rnacentral:rRNA from 1 species
GACGAACGCUGGCGGCGUGCUUAACACAUGCAAGUCGAACGGAAAGGCCCUUCGGGGUACUCGAGUGGCGAACGGGUGAGUAACACGUGGGUGAUCUGCCCUGCACUUUGGGAUAAGCCUGGGAAACUGGGUCUAAUACCGAAUAGGACCACGCGCUUCAUGGUGUGUGGUGGAAAGCUUUUGCGGUGUGGGAUGGGCCCGCGGCCUAUCAGCUUGUUGGUGGGGUAAUGGCCUACCAAGGCGACGACGGGUAGCCGGCCUGAGAGGGUGACCGGCCACACUGGGACUGAGAUACGGCCCAUACUCCUACGGGAGGCAGCAGUGGGGAAUAUUGCACAAUGGGCGCAAGCCUGAUGCAGCGACGCCGCGUGAGGGAUGACGGCCUUCGGGUUGUAAACCUCUUUCAAUAGGGACGAAGCGCAAGUGACGGUACCUAUAGAAGAAGCACCGGCCAACUACGUG